rnacentral:rRNA from 1 species
GACGGAGGGUGCUAGCGUUGUUCGGAAUGACUGGGCGUAAAGGGCGCGUAGGCGGCCGACCCAGUCGGGUGUGAAAGCCCGGGGCUCAACCCCGGAACGGCACCCGAUACUGGUUGGCUGGAGACCGAGAGAGGUGAGUGGAAUACCCAGUGUAGAGGUGAAAUUCGUAGAUAUUGGGUGGAACACCGGUGGCGAAAGCGGCUCACUGGCUCGGUUCUGACGCUGAGGCGCGAAAGCGUGGGGAGCAAACAGG